UGAGGAAUAUUGCACAAUGGGCGCAAGCCUGAUGCAGCAACGCCGCGUGAGGGACGAAGGCCUUCGGGUCGUAAACCUCUUUUCUGGGGGACGAGUAAGGACGGUACCCCAGGAAUAAGUCUCGGCUAACUACGUGCCAGCAGCCGCGGUAAAACGUAGGAGGCGAGCGUUAUCCGGAUUUACUGGGCGUAAAGCGUACGCAGGUGGCUUCGUUAGUCGGACAUGAAAGCUCCUGGCUUAACUGGGAGAGGUUGUUCGAUACUGCG
rnacentral:rRNA from 1 species